rnacentral:rRNA from 1 species
UACGUAGGGCGCAAGCGUUGUCCGGAAUUAUUGGGCGUAAAGAGCUCGUAGGCGGUCUGUCGCGUCUGGUGUGAAAUCCCAUGGCUCAACUGUGGGCUUGCAUCGGGUACGGGCAGACUAGAGUGCUGUAGGGGAGACUGGAAUUCCUGGUGUAGCGGUGGAAUGCGCAGAUAUCAGGAGGAACACCGAUGGGGAAGGCAGGUCUCUGGGCAGUUACUGACGCUGAGGAGCGAAAGCAUGGGGAGCGAACAGG